rnacentral:tRNA from 1 species
GGGCGUGUAGCUCAGCGGGAGAGCACUCCCUUCACACGGGAGGGGGGGUCACAGGUUCAAUCCCUGUCACGCCCA